rnacentral:rRNA from 1 species
GCGUGAUUAUGUGGAGCGUGAGGAGCUAAACACUCUUAUGCCUUCAUAUUCGUGCGUUUUGGGUGUACUUGCCCGCAUGGUAGGUUAACAUCAAUUUCGGACGCCAUAAAAUGGUCGGAGGAAUGUGGCUUCGACCUCGGUUGAAGUGUUAUAGCCUUUGGCAGAUGUGGUGACCGGGAUUGAGGAUUGCAACGGAUACCCUUCGGGGCUACCCGUCUGAUCUCUGAUCGUUACUCUGGUGCCGAAAGCUUGCUUACGGUUAUCAAAGUUGAUGGUCAAUAGGUUAGAACGGGUUAAAUUCGUUAAGGAUGUUGACGUA